ACCAGGUGGACACCCUCCUCCCCAACCCCGUCUCCCAAUAUAAAUCCUCCCCACUCGCUCCACCCCAAGCAGCCUGGAGUUCCAUGACAGGCGGCCAGGGCACAUGUCCUGGGUCCCAGCCUCCACCUUCAGCCCUGCCUGGCCUCCGCAGCACCAGAAUCCAGGUGACCGGCAGUGGCCCCCAGCCCUCAGUGGCGGUGGAGGGUGGGGGAGCCACCGCUCGCUCCCAGCCCAGAGCGGCCUGGCCAUAUAAGGGAAGGAGCCGGGAGGCCUCCUCGCUCCGGCCUGGCGAGAAAACCCAGACAGCCAGUGUUUAUUUUCUCCUUCCCAGCCUCCCCGAGCUUCUCGACAGAAGACAGAGGUUCCCCCACUCAGUGACAUUUCCUGAAGACAGUGGGGAGCAGGGAGGGGAAAUCGGCCCGUCCUCCGGGAGCCACCCCCAGACAGCCAACAACCAGGGGCAUUUCCCUCCACCUCAGCCUGACUGCGCUCCUCCAGGGCAAGGUUUAGUCCCUUCUCCUCUUGGCACAUCGAAGACGCACUGGGGUCGCUGAACGGACAGGUGAAACGGUUAGGCCCUGUCCCCAACUCAAACGCUUGGAAAAUUGGCCAGGGGGUGAGAUAUCCAGCGUAGAGGUUAAAAAUGAGGGUCCUGGGUCGGCUGUUCUGAGUCAGGAAUCCCAGCACAGCUCCCAGCUCCAUGCCCUGGGAAAAUUCCCUUCCCACCGGGCCUUGGGGAUGAGCACGGUUAAAACAGCCAAUAAGUGACCGUUCCUACUGCCGUCAGCAUCACCAUGAUUUUUCUAGAGACAAAGGAACAGAACUAGUCAGCCUACAGCCCCAGAGCAGACGGAGGCCAUCCCUUCCCCCGUCAAAGGCUGCGCCCCAGCCCUGGCCCUGCGUCACGGUCUCUCCCACAGGAGCGUGGGCCUGCCUCUCCUUCCCGUUACUACACCCAGGAGAGCUGCACUCUUUGCGGUAAUAUUCUCAGCCCGAUGGGAUGUGCUGGAAAUAGCCAUCGCUCCCCCGGUUCAAGCUGGGCUGUGACCCUGGAACCAUCUCCUUCCCUUCCUGGUCCUCCCGGUGGAGGUGACAGCAUCCGCCUGCCACCCUCACCAACCACUCUGAAGAUUAAACGUGACAGGCACAAUUUCCCAAAUUGCACUCACUCGGAGGCCCCCUUUUAUAUUUUUUGC
rnacentral:lncRNA from 1 species